rnacentral:rRNA from 1 species
CAGCAGCCGCGGUAAUACGUAGGGUGCGAGCGUUAACCGGAAUUACUGGGCGUAAAGCGUGCGCAGGCGGUUGUGUAAGACAGGUGUGAAAUCCCCGGGCUCAACCUGGGAACUGCGCUUGUGACUGCACAGCUAGAGUAUGGCAGAGGGGGGUGGAAUUCCACGUGUAGCAGUGAAAUGCGUAGAGAUGUGGAGGAACACCGAUGGCGAAGGCAGCCCCCUGGGCCAAUACUGACGCUCAUGCGCGAAAGCGUGGGGAGCAAACAGGAUUAGAUACCCCCGUAGUCCCUGUCUCUUAUAC